GUGCAUGGUUUCCGAGAGCUGCAGCUUCACAGUUGGUAGUUGCGGCUUCUCCAAUGACAUGCUAUAGAGAGUUGGAGAGACUUUGGCAGCUUUGGUCUUGUUUUUCCUUUGUCACUUGACUCUCCUACAUAC